CAAGGAGUCAAGUUAUAUCUUAGAGGUAGAAAAAGGCAGUUAGACAAAACUAGUGCUAAUUAAUUUCUUUAUAUAUGGGUAAAAUCUGGGUAUAAAGUCAUGAACUAACAAGGCAAAUAUGUUGAAUCCGCGACAAUCUUGAGGGAAACUGGGAUUAGAUACCCCAUUAUUCUUGAAUAUAAAUUGAUUUUAUUUACCUGAGUACUACGAAUAUAAAUAAUUUAAAACUCAAAGAGCUUGGCGGUGUUUUAGACCUCUCAGGGGAACCUGUCUCAUAAUCGACAAUCCACGUAGAACCUAACCUUUUUUUGUAUCCAGUUUGUAUACCGUUGUCGCCAGGUAACUUUUAAAAAUUAAGAAGUUGGCAAAAAAACAUUUAUGUUAGGACGUCAAAUCAAGGUGCAGCUUAUAAAAAGGAGUAGAUGGGUUACAAUUAAAAUUUAUAAUUACGGAAAUUUGCAGUAAAAGCGUUUCGAAGGAGGACUUGAAAGUAAUGUUGAUUAAAAAAAUAACUUGAAUUAGGCUCUGAAACGUGCACACAU
rnacentral:rRNA from 1 species